rnacentral:rRNA from 1 species
AUUAGGAAUCUUGCACAAUGGGGGAAACCCUGAUGCAGCGACGCCGCGUGCGGGAGGAAGGCCUUCGGGUCGUAAACCGCUUUUGACAGGGAAGAAGAAUGUGACGGUACCUGUCGAAUAAGCCCCGGCUAACUACGUGCCAGCAGCCGCGGUAAUACGUAGGGGGCGAGCGUUGUCCGAAGUUACUGGGCGUAAAGCGCGCGUAGGCGGUUCUUUAAGUCUGGGGUGAAAGGUUCAGCGCUCAACGUGAACAGUGCCUUGGAUACUGGGGGACUUGAGUGUGGGAGAGGGCAGUGGAAUUCCUGGUGUAGCGGUGAAAUGCGUAGAUAUCAGGAGGAACACCGAUGGCGAAGGCAGCUGCCUGGCCUAACACUGACGCUGAGGUGCGAAAGCGUGGGGAGCGAACAG